rnacentral:rRNA from 1 species
GAACGGGUGAGUAACACGUGGACAACCUGCCUCAAGGCUGGGGAUAACAUUUGGAAACAGAUGCUAAUACCGAAUAAAACUUAGUGUCGCAUGACACAAAGUUAAAAGGCGCUUCGGCGUCACCUAGAGAUGGAUCCGCGGUGCAUUAGUUAGUUGGUGGGGUAAAGGCCUACCAAGACAAUGAUGCAUAGCCGAGUUGAGAGACUGAUCGGCCACAUUGGGACUGAGACACGGCCCAAACUCCUACGGGAGGCUGCAGUAGGGAAUCUUCCACAAUGGGCGAAAGCCUGAUGGAGCAACGCCGCGUGUGUGAUGAAGGCUUUCGGGUCGUAAAGCACUGUUGUAUGGGAAGAACAGCUAGAAUAGGAAAUGAUUUUAGUUUGACGGUACCAUACCAGAAAGGGACGGCUAAAUACGUGCCAGCAGCCGCGGUAAUACGUAUGUCCCGAGCGUUAUCCGGAUUUAUUGGGCGUAAAGCGAGCGCAGACGGUUUAUUAAGUCUGAUGUGAAAGCCCGGAGCUCAACUCCGGAAUGGCAUUGGAAACUGGUUAACUUGAGUGCAGUAGAGGUAAGUGGAACUCCAUGUGUAGCGGUGGAAUGCGUAGAUAUAUGGAAGAACACCAGUGGCGAAGGCGGCUUACUGGACUGCAACUGACGUUGAGGCUCGAAAGUGUGGGUAGCAAACAGGAUUAGAUACCCUGGUAGUCCACACCGUAAACGAUGAACACUAGGUGUUAGGAGGUUUCCGCCUCUUAGUGCCGAAGCUAACGCAUUAAGUGUUCCGCCUGGGGAGUACGACCGCAAGGUUGAAACUCAAAGGAAUUGACGGGGACCCGCACAAGCGGUGGAGCAUGUGGUUUAAUUCGAAGCAACGCGAAGAACCUUACCAGGUCUUGACAUCCUUUGAAGCUUUUAGAGAUAGAAGUGUUCUCUUCGGAGACAAAGUGACAGGUGGUGCAUGGUCGUCGUCAGCUCGUGUCGUGAGAUGUUGGGUUAAGUCCCGCAACGAGCGCAACCCUUAUUGUUAGUUGCCAGCAUUCAGAUGGGCACUCUAGCGAGACUGCCGGUGACAAACCGGAGGAAGGCGGGGACGACGUCAGAUCAUCAUGCCCCUUAUGACCUGGGCUACACACGUGCUACAAUGGCGUAUACAACGAGUUGCCAGCCCGCGAGGGUGAGCUAAUCUCUUA